GAAAGAUUAAUUGCAGAAACACUGUGUCCUGUCUACAACUGUGCUGACAGCCUGAAACUGAGCAGUUGUGCUACUGAAUCACACUGAAAGUGUUUCUGGCAACUUACCCUUUCUUUCUGUGCUUCUCCCAAGUUCAGAUCUAAAAGAUGAAUGAAGAAAUACUAUAGCAUGAACUAAAUAAUGUGAAUAUGCGUUUGUGUUACCGGGAAGUGGUCCAUUUCUUCUUAACUCAUUGUUCGGAAACUAAAAAUGAGCAGCUCCAACUUUGACAUUUUUAUCACCCCAGUGGAAUGCCUGGUUUUCAUUUGCAAAGCACACCUCACUUUUACAAGUGAAGCAUCAUGGACUAAGUAGAACAUGCGAAUCUAACAACCAGCCUCCUUUAUUGUUUUGACUCCGUAUUUCCAUAGACC
rnacentral:lncRNA from 1 species